CGGUUGCCUUAGACUGCAAGUCGAACGAGUUUCCGGGCUUGCUCGGAAAUUAGUGGCGAACGGCUGAGUAACGCGUAGGUGACCUACCCCGUAGUGAGGAAUAACUGCCCGAAAGGGUAGCUAAUACCUCAUGUUGAGACGCUUUCAUUAGCGUCUCCAAGGCAGCAAUGCGCUAUGGGCGGGGCCUGCGUUCGAUUAGCUAGUUGGUGAGGUAAUGGCUCACCAAGGCGACGAUCGAUAGGUGGUCUGAGAGGACGAUCACCCAGACUGGGACUGAGACACGGCCCAGACUCCUACGGGAGGCAGCAGUCGGGAAUUUUGCGCAAUGGGGGAAACCCUGACGCAGUAAUACCGCGUGUGGGAUGAAGGCCUUCGGGCCGUAAACCACUUUUCUCGGGGACGAUAAUGACGGUACCCGAGGAAUAAGCCACGGCUAACUACGUGCCAGCAGCCGCGGUAAUACGUAGGUGGCAAGCGUUGUCCGGAUUUACUGGGCGUAAAGCGCGCGCAGGCGGUGAAUGAAGUCGAAAGUGAAAGCCCCGGGCUCAACUCGGGAACAGCUUUCGAAACCAGUUCACUUGAAGGUGGAAGAGGGAAGUGGAAUUCCGAGUGUAGCGGUGGAAUGCGCAGAUAUUCGGAGGAACACCAGAGGCGAAGGCGACUUCCUGGUCCAAUCUUGACGCUGAGGCGCGAAAGCUAGGGGAGCAAACAGGAUUAGAUAUCCUGGUAGUCCUAGCUGUAAACGAUGGAUACUAGGUGUUGGAGGUUUUAACCCCUCCGGUGCCGCAGCUAACGCAUUAAGUAUCCCGCCUGGGGAGUACGGCCGCAAGGCUAAAACUCAAAGGAAUUGACGGGGCCCCGCACAAGCAGCGGAGCGUGGGGUUUAAUUCGAUGAUACGCGAAGAACCUUACCUAGGCUUGACAUGCACAUGACCGCGGCGGAAA
rnacentral:rRNA from 1 species